UACGUAGGGCGCAAGCGUUGUCCGGAAUUAUUGGGCGUAAAGAGCUCGUAGGCGGCUUGUCACGUCUGCUGUGAAAUCCCGGGGCUCAACCCCGGGCGUGCAGUGGAUACGGGCUGGCUAGAGGCAGGCAGGGGAGAACGGAAUUCCCGGUGUAGCGGUGAAAUGCGCAGAUAUCGGGAGGAACGCCGGUGGCGAAGGCGGUUCUCUGGGCCUGUACUGACGCUGAGGAGCGAAAGCGUGGGGAGCGAACAGG
rnacentral:rRNA from 1 species